GAUGAAGAAGUAGCAAAAUGCGAUAAGUAAUGUGAAUUGCAGAAUUCAGUGAAUCAUCGAAUCUUUGAACGCACAUUGCGCCCGCUGGUAUUCCGGCGGGCAUGCCUGUUCGAGCGUCAUUUCAACCCUCAAGCCCCCGGGUUUGGUGUUGGGGAUCGGCUCUGCCCUUCUGGGCGGUGCCGCCCCCGAAAUACAUUGGCGGUCUCGCUGCAGCCUCCAUUGCGUAGUAGCUAACACCUCGCAACUGGAACGCGGCGCGGCCAUGCCGUAAAACCCCAACUUCUGAAUGUUGACCUCGGAUCAGGUAGGAAUACCCGCUGAACUUAAGCAUAUCAAUAAGCGGAGGA
rnacentral:misc_RNA from 1 species